AUUGAACGCUGGCGGCAGGCCUAACACAUGCAAGUCGAACGAGUGGCGGACGGGUGAGUAAUGUCUGGGACACUGCCUGAUGGAGGGGGAUAACUACUGGAAACGGUAGCUAAUACCGCAUACCAUCAGAUGUGCCCAGAUGGGAUUAGCUUGUUGGUGGGGUAACGGCUCACCAAGGCGACGAUCCCUAGCUGGUCUGAGAGGAUGACGGGCCACAUUGGAUCGGGGACACGGUCCAGACACCUACGCGAGGCAGCAGUGGGGAAUAUCGCACAAUGGACGCAAGCCUGAUGAAGCCCGUCCGCGUGUAUGAAGAAGGCCUUCGGGUUGUAAAGUACUUUCUGAGGGGAGGCGUUACCCGCAGAGGAAGCACCGGCUAACUCCGUGCCAGCAGCCGCGGUAAUAC
rnacentral:rRNA from 1 species